GGGACUGUGGCUCAGUGGCAGAGCCUCUGCUUGAUAUGCAGAAGGUCCCAGGUUCAAAUCCUGGCCCCA